rnacentral:rRNA from 1 species
GAGCUUGCUCCCGGAUGUUAGCGGCGGACGGGUGAGUAACACGUGGGUAACCUGCCUGUAAGACUGGGAUAACUCCGGGAAACCGGAGCUAAUACCGGAUAGUUCCUUGAACCGCAUGGUUCAAGGAUGAAAGACGGUUUCGGCUGUCACUUACAGAUGGACCCGCGGCGCAUUAGCUAGUUGGUGGGGUAAUGGCUCACCAAGGCGACGAUGCGUAGCCGACCUGAGAGGGUGAUCGGCCACACUGGGACUGAGACACGGCCCAGACUCCUACGGGAGGCAGCAGUAGGGAAUCUUCCGCAAUGGACGAAAGUCUGACGGAGCAACGCCGCGUGAGUGAUGAAGGUUUUCGGAUCGUAAAGCUCUGUUGUUAGGGAAGAACAAGUGCGAGAGUAACUGCUCGCACCUUGACGGUACCUAACCAGAAAGCCACGGCUAACUACGUGCCAGCAGCCGCGGUAAUACGUAGGUGGCAAGCGUUGUCCGGAAUUAUUGGGCGUAAAGGGCUCGCAGGCGGUUUCUUAAGUCUGAUGUGAAAGCCCCCGGCUCAACCGGGGAGGGUCAUUGGAAA